UUACGGCCACAUCACGUUGAAAUACCAGUUCCCCUACGAAAACCGAAGUUAAGCAACAUCGAGCCUGGUCACCACCUAGAUGGGUAAUAGCUUGGGAAUACCAUGUGCG